ensembl:lncRNA ST3GAL6-AS1 ST3GAL6 antisense RNA 1
AUCUUCCCAUCUCAAGAUUCUUCACUUAAUCACAUCUGCAAAAUUCCUUUUGCUGUCCUGAAAAGUAUCUUGCAUACACAACUGGCAGCACAGAAUCCUGACAAACCUCUCAUCAGAAAUCAACCACAGACUCUUUAUGCUCUUACCAAAAUGCUGGCUUUGAGAACUAAUUAUGAAUGAAAAUUACUGAUGUGAUUUUCAGUCUAGGGAAGAAUAUCAAGUUAAACUUUAUGAAGUCCAAGACAAUGGGAAAAGAAGAGGUGUUCCUGUCCAGGCCCUCUUCCAGUUAGAAGGUGAUGGUUUCCAGAAGUCUGCACCUGUAUUUCAAUUACCUAUAAUGGAGUUUAUAGGACUAAACUAUAUUCACUAUAUUUUCUUAUUUUUGUGUGUGUGUUUGAUGUGCUGGCAACUGGGGACUUGGUAACUGGGGAGGGAUAGCUCUUCUCAGGAAGAGCUAAUUCUUAGAGAUACAGGGAGCAUGCUUUUCAUAUGCAAACUACUCAAACUGGAGUCCACACUUCCCCAACCUCCUCUAUAGGACUCUUACUCUCCUGCCCGAUAUUCCCCUGCUCUAAUCAUCUUGGGGCCAGGUACCAGGCAACUCAGGACGGCCACUACACCUCCAGAGCCCACUGACAUUAUUAAAACUAGACAAUUCUAAGCUGCUUGCCCUACCUUGACCUUAUUCCUUUUGUUGCAAAACGCAAUAAAGGGUCUUGCCACAUUUUCCUUCUGCUCCCUCUGCCUCCGGACUGACCCUGGUGCUUUCCUUUGUGGGCCUUCGUGGCUUACCUCGUGUUUCUAGGAACCUGCAAGUGUAAAAACUUCUUUCUUCAUGACAGUCAUUUCCAUGACUGCUGCCUUACUAUACCUGAUUUAAACAAAUCCUGAGCACAUUUUAAAACAUAAAUUCAACAGCUGGACCUGCUAUGCAGAGCAAUUCAGGCGGAGGGAAUGGCUCAUGCACACUCUCCAAGUACUGUUAGGUAUGAGUUCUAAAUUUCUCUUCAAAGAAUCAAUAUGUCAGUAUGUUCAGUUCUUUGCCUUCUACUGUUAAACUUAACUUCCUCGUAAAGCAACCUUUUUCCAUUACCUGCUCCACCCUGACUCAUUCUGAUUACCUGCUCAUUCUCCACCCUGGCUUACUCUGAUUUCCUGCUCUGCCCUGUAACCAUUUUUCCCGCCAAACCACUCACCCUGUCACUCUCUUUAAAUUAGCCAAUUGGAAUUAGUUUAGCCUGUGCAGUCUAACCCAAGCCAAUAGGGGAACCAUACAGCAGCAGGGACCACGUGCCUCAGGGAUAAGAACCCCUUCCCCUCCCUUGUCCAAGUGUGCGCUCACGAUUGCUCCAUCUGUAAGGGUGCACCCUUCUAUAG